rnacentral:tRNA from 1 species
UGGGGUGUGGUCCAAUUGGCAGGACACCCGGCUGUUACCCGGGAGGGUGCUGGUUCGAGUCCAGCCGCCCCAGCCA